UAGUCAUAUGCUUGUUUCAAGGAUUAAGCCAUGUAAGUCUCAGAGUAAAUGGAUAACAGUGGGUCUGCGAACAGCUCAUUAAAUCAGCUUCAAUCUACGUGGGGAAACUACCUUUUGGUAGACAAUUGGAUAACUCUGGUAACUCCAAAGCUAAUACAUGUCAGUAAAAUCCGCACCUCCAAAACACUUGGCUUUCGGGUCGGGUGUGGUGUUGGAUACGGUUGAUCGACAGAGAAACCAACGCCAAGCAAUUGGCAGUGGUAGAUGGAUGAUUCAGGUCAACUUCGUAGUAGCACACGCUUCAUGCGGUGCUCGUCCACAAGGGAAUCUGCCCUAUCAGCUUGUCGGUAGUGUCGUGGACUACCGUGGCAGUAACGGGUAACGGGGAAUUAGGGUUCUAUUCCGGAGAGGGAGCCUGAGAAACGGCUACCACAACUAAGGUUGGCAACAGGCGCGCAAAUUGCCCAAUAGCAACACCUAGCUGAGGCAGCGAAGAGGAAUAGCAGUCUCAUGCGGUCUUACCGUGUGUGGUCUGCAAUGGACGAUAUCUAAACCAGUCGAUGAGUAUCAAUUGGAGGACAAGCCUGGUGCCAGCACCCGCGGUAAUUCCAGCUCCAAUAGCGUAUAUUAAUGCUGCUGCUGUUAAAAAGCUCGUAGUUGGAUCAAGAGUGCUAGGGUGCUCAGAGGCCCUUUCCCCUUCACGGGGGUUUGCGGAAAUAACCCUGAGCAACACGCCCUGGCCUCUACAUAAGGCUGAAACGGUUCACUGCUAGUAGGUUCCUUCAUUGGGACUGAAAGCACAUUCGCAUAAACCACAUGCAUAAGUGACGUCGGCUAAUGUUACUGUAAACAAACCAGUGUGUUCAAAGCAGGCAAUUGCCUGAAUGUUCGAGUAUGGGAUAACAAGGGAUCGAUCCUCUCGGCCCUCUUUGUUGGUUACUAAUCCGAGGAGGAAUAACAGUGGUCACUGAUGUCUGAGUUAGGUGGUUUACCACCUAAUUAGGUCGUGACCAACCGGGAUCAAUAGGGACUGUCGGGGUCGUAAGUACUGGCACGUCAGAGGUGAAAUUCUUAGAUCGUGUCAAGACUGACGUAUGCGAAAGCAUUCGACAAGGAUGUCUUCAUUAAUCAAGAACGAGAGUGUGGGGAUCGAAGAUGAUCAGAUACCGUCGUAGUCCACCACUGUAAACAAUGCCGUCUCAGGAUCGAUGAGUGUACAUUAUGGCUUCGACGGCACUAACCCCUGAAACGAGAAAUCAAAGACUAUGGGUUCAGGGGGGAGUACAUUCGCAAGGCUGAAACUUAAAGGAAUUGACGGAAUGACACCACCAGGUGUGGAGUAUGCGGCUUAAUUUGACUCAACACGGGGAAUUUUACUAGGUCAGGACAAUGUAAGGAUUGACAGGUUGAGAGCCCUUUCUCGAUCCAUUGUGUGGUGGUGCAUGGCCGCUCCUGGUUGGUGGAGUGAUUUGUCUGGUUGAUUCCGUUAACGAACGAGAUCUCGACUAAUUAAUAGGUGUCAGUGUCGAUCGUAGUGUUUGUACCACUUCUUCGGGAGUCCGGUACUGCACGAGACAGCUGGCGAAUACUUCUUAUUGGGACUGCAUGCGUCUCUAGCAUGCGGAAGAGCGAGCCAAUAGCAGGUCUGUGAUGCUCCUAAAUGUCCUAGGCUGCACGCGCACUACACUGAUGCAGCAAACGAGUUGAUUGCCAUUGGCAACCUUACUUGAAAAAGUUGGGAAAUCUUUUGAACCUGCAUCGUGAUGAGGAUCGAAGAUUGCAAUUAUUCUCCUUGAAUGAGGAAUACCUAGUAGGCGCAAGUCAUCAGCUUGCACUGAUUACGUCCCUGCCAUUUGUACACACCGCCCGUCGUUGCUACCGAUUGGCUGUAGGGUAGAGGUCGGCGGACCGAAGUGUUGUGGGGUUACUCACACAUUUUGCGAAACCUACCAAUAUUCUGCGGCUAGAGGAAGCAAAAGUCGUAACAAGGUUGCU
rnacentral:rRNA from 1 species